CUACGGGGUGCUCCAGUGAGGAAUAUUGCACAAUGGGGGGAACCCUGAUGCAGCAACGCCGCGUGGAGGAUGACGCAUUUCGGUGUGUAAACUCCUUUUAUAUGUCAAGAAAAUGACGGUAGCAUAUGAAUAAGCACCGGCUAACUCCGUGCCGGCAGCCGCGGUAAUACGGAGGGUGCAAGCGUUACUCGGAAUCACUGGGCGUAAAGGACGCGUAGGCGGGUUGGAAAGUCAGGUGUGAAAUCCUACAGCUUAACUGUAGAACUGCACUUGAAACUUCUAAUCUAGAGUAUGGGAGGGGGAGAUGGAAUUAGUGGUGUAGGGGUAAAAUCCGUAGAUAUCACUAGGAAUACCUAAAGCGAAGGCGAUCUCCUGGAACAUUACUGACGCUAAGACGUGAAAGCGUGGGGAGCAAACAGGAUUAGAUACCCUUGUAGUC
rnacentral:rRNA from 1 species